rfam:Equus caballus chromosome 1, whole genome shotgun sequence.
GCCCUGGUGGUCUAGUGGUUAAGAUUCAGCACUCUCACCACUGUGGCCAGGGUUCGUUUCCCGGUCAGGGAA